ensembl:lncRNA
GAUGUACUCCGCUGCUUAAGAACAGGAAAAGGAGAGCUGGGGACAGCUGGCCAUGUGGUUUCUUGGAAAAGCAGGAUAAACAGUGAUGACAGCAUGAGCCCUGGAUUCUGACAGCUUAUGUCAGAUUCCUACUCUGUUCACUUACCAGAAGUCUCCUGUUACACUGAAGCUCUGUCCAGACGAUUCUAAAAAUAGCCCGAUGGAAUCCUGUGGUUGGAAGAAACUGUGAGAGGUCACUGAGUCCGUCCCUCGCCUGCAGAAGGGCACUGGCGUGCAGUCCAGCGUCGGUGCUAUUGGAUACCCCAGAGCCAGGCCAACAGGGAACGGGUCUGAGGCCACUGGCAUGGCUGGCAUCUUGGUCUAAUAAUAAUCAGGUGAACUGCUUAAUAGUUCUCAUCUUACCAAACGCCAGCUCCUCCCUCCUUAUAGGAUGAUUCCUCUGAUCUACCCAAUAACUUCACUCCUUAGAGUGGCCCCUCUUUCUCUGCUGCCUUGAUACCUCUCUCUCUCUCUCCUGAAUCAUUCCCAUUCACCAAGAAAACACACAUGAAAACAUCCCCUUCUCUCACACCCCCCAGCCACACCCCCACCUCCCUGUUCCCAUCAUACCCAAAUGACUUCUCUGCCCACUGCCGAAACUCUUGUCUUCGUGGCACCACUGAAAUGACCUCUCUCAGGCCCCCCAGUGACUGCCCUGCUCCCCAAGUCCAAGACUCGUGCUUUCUCUUAAGGUCUUUGGAUCUGACCACUCCCUCCUCUUCGACUUGGCUUCUGGAACAACCCAUCUGCUGGUUUCCUUCCUCCUUCCCUGUCCCCAUCUGCUUAGCCUCUUCUAUCCAACUUCAAAAGUUGGGGCAGGGCUUCCCUGGUGGCUCAGUGGUAAAGAGGCUGCCUGCCAAUGCGGGAGACACAAGUUCAAUCCCCGAUCCAGGAAGAGCCCAUGUGUCAUGGAGUGACUAAGCCCGUGUGCCACAACUACUGGACCCACAUGCAGCAAACACUGAAGCCCACGCACUCCGGAGCCUGCACUCCACAACAAGAGAAAUCACCGCAGUGAGAGGCCUGUGCACUGCCACUGCAGAGUAGCCCCCACUGGCUACAGCUAAAGUCUGCACAGCCCCACAUAUAGAAAUAAGUAAAAACA